UAUUACUGUUUUAACUUUUUUUGUUUUGUUUUGUUUUAGAGCAAAAUAGACUAAUUAAAAAAAACAUUGGUUUUGCUGUUUUUUCUUUAUAGCAUUGCAGCACAUGGGUAAGGGUGAUGACGCUAUACGUGAGGCACUUUAUCAUCUUCGAGACCUCAUGGAUUAUGCACAUCUCUUCACAUUUAACAUGAACGUGAUAUACAUACCGAAUGUGCAUAUUGAAAGCGGGGAGAUGUGCAACUGUAAAGAGUUCAUUGCUCAAGAGCUUCUGAAGACGUUAGUUUCAGCAGAAAUCACUGAUCAAGACGCUGCUGCUGAACCACGCACUGCACUUAGACUGUUACAGCACAAUAUCAGAUUUCUCCUUCAGAAUUCGGUAAGUGAUUUCUAUCACUAUGUGCCCAGUAAUGUACUCAGGUAUGUGAAUUUUAUGGAUUCAUGUUUUGUUUUUUUUGCAAGAUUGGAGAACACUGUCUAAAAGACAAAGUCAUGGUUCACAAGAUUAAUUUGAGGAUUAAUCAAGAGUUGAUGUUCAUUCGUCGAUGUUUCACAUUUUUCCAGGAUUGGAUGUUCAAAUGCACAACCAGCAGUGACUUUUGAUUUCUGAUUAAUUCCCUUUGACUGCUGUCGAGAUUAUUACAUUAAAUAACUGUUUAAGUACCUAUUACUUUUAUAAAUGGCCUAACAGGACAAGAUCUAAUAUUGAUAGAAGCUGUAAAACCAUGUUACUAUGUGAUUUGUUUCUCAAUAUUGCAAUAAAUAAUAAUGAGUGACC
rnacentral:lncRNA from 12 species